rnacentral:rRNA from 1 species
CGCCUGUUUAUCAAAAACAUCGCCUCUUGCUAAAAAGAAUGUAUUAGAGGUCCCGCCUGCCCAGUGACCACUGCGUUUAACGGCCGCGGUAUCAUAACCGUGCGAAGGUAGCGUAAUCAUUUGUCUUUUAAAUGAAGACCAGUAUGAACGGCAUCACGAGGGUUUAACUGUCUCCUCCCCCCAGUCAAUGAAAUUGAUCUGCCCGUGCAGAAGCGGACAUAAAGACAUAAGACGAGAAGACCCUAUGGAGCUUCAGGCAAAGAUCCAAACACGUCAAGAAACCUCACAUAACAAAAGAAACAAGACAAGUUUAAACCCAGUGCCCAAAUGAUCAUCUGCCUUCGGUUGGGGCGACCACGGGGAAAAAUAAAGCCCCCGUAUGGAAUGAGAACCACCUCUAAACUAAGAAAUACACCUCUAAGUAACAGAAAAUCUGACCAAACAUGACCCGGGAUAAACAAACCCGAUCAAUGAACCUAGUUACCCUAGGGAUAACAGCGCAAUCCUUUCCCAGAGCCCCUAUCGACGAAAGGGUUUACGACCUCGAUGUUGGAUCAGGGCAUCCUAAUGGUGAAGCCGCUAUUAAGGGUUCGUUUGUUCAACGAUUAACAGUCCUACGUGAUCUGAGUUCAGACCGGUUACUUC